rnacentral:lncRNA from 13 species
UCAGUUUCUAUUGUUUUAAGCCACCCAGUUGUGGUAAUUUAUUAUGACAGCCAUGGGAAACUAACAUAGUUGGGUGCAGCCAGAGGGCUGUACACCAGCUUUCUCUGCCUGGAAUUGAUGCCUAUCACUUUUGUUCACUUUUUAGUGACCAAAACAAGCCACAUGACAGUCUUUCUUCAAGGGGACAGACAGUGCAACUCUGUCACUGGUUUUGGAAGACAACAAGGUAUCAGUUCAGUAUUCUUUAUACCAGAAUUAUACAAAGACUCUGAAAGUAGUUAA